UUUUUUUUUGUUUCGGACGGCCAUUUGCAAGUUAAUAUAACAAGAGUGCCAAUCGCCACAUAGCGAAUUGGCACGUUGUGCCAAGCAGAUUUCCAAGGGAGAAUAGCGGAAAAAGAUAAUUGGGAUCGAUGACCGAGCCGGCCGCAGCCACAACCAGCUGGCCAUAGAAAGGGAAGAGAAGAGACUGCGCUCCCGAAAAAAAAAAAAGCACAAGAACCGAUCGAAUUCGCCGCUGGCGCAGAGAAGCGCAAGGCAGAGAGUCCGCCGCUCCAGCUGUGGGUCCGACUCAGUGCAUCAGCAGCAUCGUCGGCGCCGGGAAGCUGCGAAACUAAAAGCGGAAUAUUGAACAUUUUUUUUUUGGCCCCCAAGUUUUUUUGCGUAAAUAUCUUGCCCUCGGCCGACCUGGCUUAGUGAAAAAAAGGUAGAGGAAAUAAAAACCCAGAUCAAAAUUAUACCCAUGAGCCAAUAGGCAAGGUCUUACAAUUAUAGCAAGCGGAUCGUCUUCGACAAAAGCGCUUUUGGAGAUGGAUGGCACGUAAGUGAAAGAAUAUUGCUUUACUCUAAAUAAAUUGCAUGCAUGAGCGUGAGAGAAGGAGAGGUAUGGGAAAGAAAGAAGGGGAGAGGUAUACAGUUGGGCAGAUCCACAUGCCGGAAGAGAUAGCAAGAACAGUAACCAUGGGUUUUUUGUUGUUGUCACAAAUGCUCUGUUAAAUUUGUAUGCCAGUUUAGCGGCUACCUCCUAUAUACAUAUACUGUUUUUUUAUUAUAUACACAUUUAAUUCUUUUUUUUCUAUUUAGUUAUAAUUCUUCUAUUUUAAUUAUUAUUAGUAUUAUUUUAAUUUCCAACCUGGAAUAUUCUCGAAUCCUGUUGUUCGCUAAAAUAGUUAUUGAGUCAAUUGGGAGUUUAAGUAGAGUAGGGAAAUGCCCCUGUGUCAAGUAAUAAAUAAGUUUUAAAAUGAAAUCGAUAAUGAACUAAAUUAUUUUAGGGCGCCAUGCCGAGUGGAUUAUGGAAAUGAAGUGAGUCUGGGGGAUUUAGGGAUCAUCGGCCACUAAUAUGGCUUUGCGGCCCAGAUGGUCAAGGUAGGGUGGGCAAAACGCUGCUACACCUACAGCUACUCAGCAGCACAACCCGUACUUCAGCAUGUUCUGUUUUCUUUGCAGAGCAACCUCUAUGUGUGCAUAGCUUGUCACUCUUGGUAGUUUCUUUUCUGUAUGGCCAGUCCGAUCGAUCAUGUGUUAGGGAGGAAAACAGCACGCGAAAUCAAUAUUAUUAUAUGUAUCCAAUGCGAGCAGGUAGCACAGUGGUAAAUCCUCACCCCCCCCUUGCCGACGACAAAUAGAAGCCGGAACCAGCGCGUGCUCCUCUGGUCGCUACAAUAAGAUCAGCUCGUUAUGAUAGCGUAUCGCUAUACGUUGUA